AUUAAACGCUGGCGGCAUGCCUUACACAUGCAAGUCGAACGGCAGCACGGGGGCAACCCUGGUGGCGAGUGGCGGACGGGUGAGUAAAGCAUCGGAACGUAUCCUGGAGUGGGGGGAUAACGUAGCGAAAGUUACGCUAAUACCGCAUAUUCUGUGAGCAGGAAAGCAGGGGAUCGCAAGACCUUGCGCUCUGGGAGCGGCCGAUGUCGGAUUAGCUAGUUGGUGGGGUAAAGGCCCACCAAGGCGACGAUCCGUAGCGGGUCUGAGAGGAUGAUCCGCCACACUGGGACUGAGACACGGCCCAGACUCCUACGGGAGGCAGCAGUGGGGAAUUUUGGACAAUGGGCGGAAGCCUGAUCCAGCCAUGCCGCGUGAGUGAAGAAGGCCUCGGGUUGU
rnacentral:rRNA from 1 species